AUGAGAUGAAAUCAGCGUUUUGACAUGCAACUUUACGUUGAUUUCAUAUCAUGA
rnacentral:pre_miRNA from 1 species